UGAUGAAUUGUCGCCACUAAUAUGAGGUUGUUGUAGCGACUUGGAAGCCGCCCCUAGAUAUACCAAUCUAUUGUACAGCGAAUUUGUCACUAAUGCUUUUGGUUUUAAAAUGAAAGGUUACAAAAACAAACCCUAGACAAACGAGAAAAAACACCGCCAAAAUCAUUUUCUACAAUACACUUCUCAACAACGUUCCCUCGGCUGGGAACUUUUGGAUCCUCUAUCCCUUUGCUGUUACCCGGCGAACUCAUCGACAAUUCCUUUAUCGGUAAAUAUUUUCGUCGGUUCCUCUCUCUCUAUCUCUCUCUUCCCUUUUAGAUUUCUUACCUUUAGCUCUGUUUUAACUGUGAAUCUUAGCUCGUGCAAAUAUAAAUAAGUUCUUCUAUUCUAUUUCUUCUUUGCCUUCUUGUAUCUUGAAGUCUUUCAACUCUAUAGUGAAAAAAGCCCCUUUCUAAAAGUUUUUGCUAUUUUCUUAACCUAAAUAAAAAUGGCGAGAGCGGGACUAGAUGAAAAUUGGAAGGAGUAAUUGACAAUUAUGGAGUACAUUUGAGAUUUUUCAUGCUGGGUAUGAGACAAUAUUUUUUUGGCAAAGCAUGAGAAGAUUUUAUCAAUAUUUUCUUGACAAAGCAUGAGAAGAUUUUAUCAAUAUUUUCUUGACAAAGCAUGUGGACAAGUGGCCUUUCUAUGAUACUUUCCGAAGGAAUGGAGUUCCUCUCAAUUUGUUGCUCAUAGCUGAUGAUUUUGCCUCUUAAUUUUUGGGAGUAUGUUGGUGGUAUUAGAGCUCACUAUCUGUUAAGUAAACUGGAGAUCUCUAUUUUGAUUGAUCCUCAUUUGGAUGUGCAUAUGGUGUUUCCAAUUACUCAUGUCGUAAAAUAUUAAAAAUUCUACACGCAUGAAAAUAUUUUCCUAAUGCUCAGUUAUACGGACCAUCGGUGAUGAUUGUCGAGUUUGAGCACAUAGUACCUGAUUUUAAGAAGCAGAUGCUGAUAUCAUCAUCGUUUACUAAAGGAGAUAGUACUUCAACAAUGGGGAAAUGAAGUUGCUCAAGGGGUGGCCUGAAGACAUUAGAGUAACUUGAACAUAUUGGAAUAGUUUGAAGACGUAUUCCUUUGGUUUUUUUUUCAUAAAAUAGAGAAGGGAUAAGGUUAUUUAAUAAGUAGGAGUUCGAACACAUUUGAUGUUCUUUUUCCAUGUGUAUAUGCAAUGACAAUGUAUUUAUGGAGCGUAAUGUAAUUUGUUGCAGACUAUUUGGUAAUGAAAAGUUUCUAUACAAUUUUAUUUAAGA